GACGAACGCUGGCGGCGUGCCUAACACAUGCAAGUCGAGCGGAGAUAUAGGAGCUUGCUUUUAUAUCUUAGCGGCGGACGGGUGAGUAACGCGUGGGUAACCUGCCUUACACAGGGGGAUAACACAGGGAAACUUGUGCUAAUACCGCAUAAGACAACGACAUGGCAUCAUGAUGUAGUCAAAGGAGAAAUCCGGUGUAAGAUGGACCCGCGUCCGAUUAGCUAGUUGGUGAGGUAACGGCUCACCAAGGCGACGAUCGGUAGCCGAACUGAGAGGUUGAUCGGCCACAUUGGGACUGAGACACGGCCCAGACUCCUACGGGAGGCAGCAGUGGGGAAUAUUGCGCAAUGGGGGAAACCCUGACGCAGCAACGCCGCGUGAAGGAUGAAGGUUUUCGGAUUGUAAACUUCUUUAGUCGGGGACGAAAAAAUGACGGUACCCGAAGAAUAAGCCACGGCUAACUACGUGCCAGCCGCCGCCGUAA
rnacentral:rRNA from 1 species